rnacentral:snoRNA from 1 species
GCACUUCAGUCUGGUUGAUGCAUUCUAACCUCUGGGCCAGAGCGUGAUUAACGGCCUGGAUGAAUCCUGAUGGGAUCAAUCCAAUGGUUGUAGAGGAUCGUUCCUGCCUGGUUCACUUGUGCAGGGCGGCCUAGAGGUUGUCUGACAGAC